CACACAAAACAAGCGGUGAGUGCUUUGGGGUGGGGUGACUGCGUACCUUUUGUAUAAUGGGUCAGCGACUUAUAUUCUGUAGCAAGGUUAACCGUAUAGGGGAGCCGAAGGGAAACCGAGUCUUAACUGGGCGUUAAGUUGCAGGGUAUAGACCCGAAACCCGGUGAUCUAGCCAUGGGCAGGUUGAAGGUUGGGUAACACUAACUGGAGGACCGAACCGACUAAUGUUGAAAAAUUAGCGGAUGACUUGUGGCUGGGGGUGAAAGGCCAAUCAAACCGGGAGAUAGCUGGUUCUCCCCGAAAGCUAUUUAGGUAGCGCCUCGUGAACUCAUCUUCGGGGGUAGAGCACUGUUUCGGCUAGGGGGUCAUCCCGACUUACCAACCCGAUGCAAACUGCGAAUACCGAAGAAUGUUAUCACGGGAGACACACGGCGGGUGCUAACGUCCGUCGUGAAGAGGGAAACAACCCAGACCGCCAGCUAAGGUCCCAAAGUCACAGUUAAGUGGGAAACGAUGUGGGAAGGCUCAGACAGCCAGGAUGUUGGCUUAGAAGCAGCCAUCAUUUAAAGAAAGCGUAAUAGCUCACUGGUCGAGUCGGCCUGCGCGGAAGAUGUAACGGGGCUAAACUGUGCACCGAAGCUGCGGCAGCGACGCUUAUGCGUUGUUGGGUAGGGGAGCGUUCUGUAAGCCUGCGAAGGUGUCCUGUGAGGGAUGCUGGAGGUAUCAGAAGUGCGAAUGCUGACAUAAGUAACGAUAAUGCGGGUGAAAAGCCCGCUCGCCGGAAGACCAAGGGUUCCUGUCCAACGUUAAUCGGGGCAGGGUGAGUCGACCCCUAAGGCGAGGCCGAAAGGCGUAGUCGAUGGGAAACGGGUUAAUAUUCCCGUACUUGGUGUUACUGCGAAGGGGGGACGGAGAAGGCUAUGUUGGCCGGGCGACGGUUGUCCCGGUUUAAGCGUGUAGGCUGGUUUUCCAGGCAAAUCCGGAAAAUCAAG
rnacentral:rRNA from 1 species